rnacentral:rRNA from 1 species
AGUAAUGCUUGGGAAUCUGGCUUAUGGAGGGGGAUAACUACGGGAAACUGUAGCUAAUACCGCGUAGAAUCGGAAGAUGAAAGUGCGGGACCGCAAGGCCGCAUGCCAUGAGAUGAGCCCAAGUGGGAUUAGGUAGUUGGUGGGGUAAAGGCCUACCGAGCCUGCGAUCUCUAGCUGGUCUGAGAGGAUGGCCAGCCACACUGGAACUGAGACACGGUCCAG